UAGAGGUUGCCGUUCUUGCCGUUAGGGCUA
rnacentral:piRNA from 1 species